rnacentral:misc_RNA from 1 species
GCUGUGUUGGAUUUUAUAAAUUGCAACAUUAACUUAAUUUUUAUUAUAUUUUUGUACUGUGGCAACUUUUCUCUCUCUUGCUCUGCGACACGGACCGAAUACACGUAUGUAAUUAUUUGCAAUCGCCGUUUUAUUUACUGAAAAGCUGAAUCUCCUGCAUCAGCGCACCAGCCCUAUCAACACACUACACCGCUGCACAUGGUCCUUCGAGGAAAGAAGCGCUGCUGGGAGACGAAACUCCAGGUUUGCAAACAAAUUUACGGCCGUGUCGCACGAGGCCAUUUUUUUUUGGUGAGCAUUGAGCAAGCAAACGGGCUCGCGAUUUCCUGUGAGACUGGUCGUCGCUACAAAAUCGCAAUACCUAUACGAUUCGACGGCCACAAUUACAAGAUCCACAGGAGGAAGCCCAGCAUCAGCAUCGAUCUAAAAUUCGAUUUCACCGUCGUCGCCGGAGUCACCUCUGCAGGUGCGAAGAGUACACUUGGCAGCAAGAUAGGGUGUUCCGCGAGAGCAAGCGAGACGGAGCACAUCGAAAUUCGAAAGAUUCGCAUUUCAUCGCACGCCCGCACGCAACAAUAGGAAUAGGACAAUCGUACGGGCGCGAAAGAGACAGCAAGUGACGCCGCAAAACUUCACAGCAGCAACAGGCGAGCUCGCGCAACCGCCAUUUUGUUGGGAAGAAUUGGAUCGCCGUCGCCGAUCAAUACUGUAUAAAAAAUAUUACAAUACUGUGUAAAAGUGUUUAAUAUAGCAGUGAAUCUUGUAAUACAUAGUUAAUAGUGUUCCUGUAAAGUUAUUAUUGAGUUAUUAACGUAAAGUACAGGUAAUAUUUGUUUUAAGAAUCGACAAGUUUAGCGAACAAUGGAAGACCUAAAGAAAAAAGUCGCCGCACGCGGUUAUGUGAAAGACAGUUACACUGCGAAGGCCUACCAACUUGACCGGGAUAUGAAUGCUAAGCCGCAAUUGGAGGAUUUUCUCAAUUACAUUGAGAACCGAGCCAACGCACUGGAGAAUGUCGAGCAGGGACAUCAACCCCAUCCUGGUAAUAGUAGCAGUAAGGUAGCAGCAGUCGCCACUACAGGAGCAACAUGCACUUACUGUCAGCAUGGUGGCAAAUGCAGGUUUCACUUCCGGUGCUCAGAGUGCAAGAAGCCUCAUAACACUCUGCUUCACUGCAAUUUAAGUGAAACCCCACCAGCUGUCACCUUAUCAAACGCUAUUGCCCAACGAGCAGUGCAUGACCAUCAGCCUGCCCAGCCACAGCAACCAGUCAUCAGCUGUGCCCCGGAGUGCUGCUCAUCCACCACAACAGCCUAGUAGCACACAGCUACACGUCUUCAACACAUACUUCGGGCACAUUGUAGGAGGGAAUCUGCCACCUAAGUGUUUCAGAAGGAGACUCGGCAGAUUUAAUCGGCUUUGCUGACGCUUCGAGUAAGACAGCCUACGGAUGCUGUGUGUACCUGCGAGUCACAGACCAAACAGGUACAACGAAAUUGCAUCUACUUUGUUCGAAGUCGCGAAUCAACCCUAUCCAAAAGAAAGGCAUGACUGUGCCAAGGCUUGAAUUGAAUGCUGCACUCUUGCUAUCAAAAUUGGUUUUGAGGACUCAUGAUACACUCAGAGUCAAAAUUAACAUCAGGCAUGUUUGUUUAUUCAGCGACUCGCAAAUCGUUCUUGCAUGGCUAAACACUGAGCUAACAAAACUUCAAGCUUACGUAUCGAACAGAGUAAGUGUAAUUCGUCAAAACACAUCUGGAUACAGUUGGCAUUAUGUCAAUACGCAUGACAAUCCUGCUGAUCUCAUUAGCCGAGGCGUCAACCCGAAUGAGCUGAGUAGCUGCGAUAUUUGGUGGAAUGGCCCUAAGUUCCUGCAAAACAGUGAGUACAAGUUUGCUGCUUAUAGCUCACCAGCUGAGUCACUCACAGAGGAGCGCUGCUUAGCUCCUUCCAGCAACUUGGUGUGCCAAAAUCCCAAUCCGCUUGACUAUGUGUUCAAGCGCUUGCAUAAUUACUCUAAUAUAAAUAAAAUAGUAAGGCUAUUAGCAUACAUAUUGCGAUUUUUAAACAAUAUUAACAAAAAUAAUUCUAAAAUAAAUACAAACUAUCUGCAAAGUUCUGAGUUAGAUAAUGCAUUAAUGUUACUUAUUAAAUAUGAACAAAGUAUAUAUUUUAAAUCUGAAAUCAAAGCAAUAAGCAAUAAUAAGAGCUUGAAGGGGAAUCUAGUUGAGUUGCAUCCCUUUCUUGACAAUAGGGGUCUAUUGCGCGUUGGUGGCAGGCUGCAUUAUGCUAAUAUAGCUUAUUCACAAAAACAUCCUGUCAUACUACCUAAGGGCUCUUCAAUUACUAGCUUGCUUAUAAGGUGUGAACAUGAAAGGCUACUGCACGCAGGGCCUAAGCUUUUACUCUCGCAUCUCAAUCAAAGGUUUUGGAUUGUUAAUGGCUUAUUAGAAGUUAAGAAAGUAACUCACAAAUGUAUUGUAUGUUUCAGACAAAAGGCCUUAGCAGCCAAGCAACUGAUGGGCUCCUUGCCGGCUGCACGUGUAACAGCCACCAGCAGGCCAUUUGAGAAAGUCGGCGUGGAUUUCGCUGGGCCAAUUGAUGUGAAACUCUCUCGCGUAAGACGAUCUUUAAUAGGUAAAGGGUAUAUCUGUGUAUUCGUAUGUUUCGCGACAAAAGCAGUUCACUUAGAACUUGCAUCAGAUUUGACCACGGAAACCUUUCUUGCGUGCUUAAGGAGAUUUAUCUCCAGACGAGGUUUG